rnacentral:sRNA from 1 species
GGAGCGGGAGCUCUUCCGAGACGCACUGGGGGCCGGAUGUAGAAUCCUGCUUAUCUGCGAAAUGCAGUUAACACAUCAGCUGGACCUAUUUCCCGAAUGCAGGGUAACCCUUCUGUUAUUUAAAGAUGUAAAAAAUGCGGGAGACUUGAGAAGAAAGGCCAUGGAAGGCACCAUCGAUGGAUCACUGAUAAAUCCUACAGUGAUUGUCGAUCCAUUUCAGAUACUUGUGGCAGCAAACAAAGCAGUUCACCUCUACAAACUGGGAAAAAUGAAGACAAGAACUCUAUCUACUGAAAUUAUUUUCAACCUUUCCCCAAAUAACAAUAUUUCAGAGGCUUUGAAAAAAUUUGGUAUCUCAGCAAAUGACACUUCAAUUCUAAUUGUUUACAUUGAAGAGGGAGAAAAACAAAUAAAUCAAGAAUACCUAAUAUCUCAAGUAGAAGGUCAUCAGGUUUCUCUGAAAAAUCUUCCUGAAAUAACGAAUAUUACAGAAGUCAAAAAGGUUUGCCAGUCCAUAUUUUUAGAAAGAGUGUGAUAGAUGAGCAAUAAUGCUGAUGCUGUUUGCCUGUUGAUCACCAGAGCUCCUUGUUUUUUGAACUUUUGAGAAGUUAAUCUAAUUUUAAAAAUUACUUAAAAAAUAAUUACAGAUACAAAGAACUGGGAGGUGUGAUGGUUUAUGUAAAAUGUAAUUACAAACUCAACUGACAUAACCAUUCUCCACAUUAAGAAAGAGAAUACCUUUAAGUAUCAAACUUACAUAGUAUAUUUAAUAUCCUUUUAAAA